rnacentral:rRNA from 1 species
AUUGAACGCUGGCGGCAUGCUUUACACAUGCAAGUCGAACGGUAACAGGCCUUCGGGCGCUGACGAGUGGCGAACGGGUGAGUAAUGCAUCGGAACGUGCCCAGUCGUGGGGGAUAACGCGGCGAAAGCUGUGCUAAUACCGCAUACGAUCUGCGGAUGAAAGCGGGGGACCUUCGGGCCUCGCGCGAUUGGAGCGGCCGAUGUCAGAUUAGGUAGUUGGGGGGGUAAAGGCUCACCAAGCCAACGAUCUGUAGCUGGUCUGAGAGGACGACCAGCCACACUGGGACUGAGACACGGCCCAGACUCCUACGGGAGGCAGCAGUGGGGAAUUUUGGACAAUGGGCGCAAGCCUGAUUCAGCAAUGCCGCGUGCAGGAAGAAGGCCUUCGGGUUGUAAACUGCUUUUGUACGGAGCGAAAAGGCUCCUUCUAAUACAGGGGGCUCAUGACGGUACCGUAAGAAUAAGCACCGGCUAACUACGUGCCAGCCGCCGCAGUAAAAC